GACGAACGCUGGCGGCGUGCUUAACACAUGCAGGUCGAGCGGGGAACUUCGGUUCCCAGCGGCGGACGGGUGAGUAACACGUGGGUCACCUGCCUCAUAGUGGGGAAUAGCCUUCCGAAAGGAAGAUUAAUACCGCAUAAUACUCGGAAAUCACAUGAUUUCUGAGCCAGAGGAUCUAUUCGCUAUGAGAUGGACCCGCGGCGCAUUAGCUUGUUGGUGAGGUAACGGCUCACCAAGGCUUCGAUGCGUAGCCGACCUGAGAGGGUGAUCGGCCACAUUGGAACUGAGACACGGUACAGACUCCUACGGGAGGCAGCAGUGGGGAAUAUUGCACAAUGGGGGAAACCCUGAUGCAGCAACGCCGCGUGAGUGAUGAAGGUCUUCGGAUCGUAGAACUCUGUCUUAUGGGACGAUAAUGACGGUACCAUAGGAGGAAGCCACGGCUAACUACGUGCCAGCCGCCGCGGUAA
rnacentral:rRNA from 1 species